CUAACCCCGUCUGGCUCCCAGACGCUCUCUCACUCCCUCUGUCUCUCUCUCUCUUUCUCUCUCACUCUUGCAAACACAUGCCGUCUGAGAGACCGCCGGCCGCUCCCUUCGAGACUCGCUGCAAAGCAAACCUUUUUUAGGAUCUGAAAGAGGGAGAGAGAGUGGAAAAAAAAAGUAAAGAAAGUAGCAGGGCUCGCAAGGCUGAGCCAGACGCCGCACAGCCCAAACAACUCAGAGGGCAGAGAGGAAUGGAGAGCGAAGGAAAGGGUGCGAAGGAAGAAAAAAAAAAAAAAGAGGCCCAAGGAAAGUCAAGGAGGCUCUGGAAAAAGGGAUCCACUAAGUUUGUGGCAUUGAAAGUGACUGUGCUGAUCUCCCUAUCCGCCUUCUUGGUUGGGCUGGUCUCCCGUGCCUGCUGUGCUGAUAAUCAGUGUCUCUCUUCGGCUGGCUCAGUUCAGCAGGAACAGGAGCCUGGUCUUACCUCUUACCACACCAGUCUGACACCUGACAUACACACUUCCCUUCAAAACAAGACUUCAGAACAGCCGAUAUGAGCAGAACAGCAUCCUCCACAACCCGGAGCCAGAGAGAGACGGUUAUAUGUAGCAACACAAGUUCUGAAUGAAAAUAUGUGAGCGUUAAUAUAAUAGUAUGACAGUAUGUAAUGUCAUCUGCGAUGGUACGACUACUUUCUUUUAUGCUAUGAAAUAUUAAAAAACAACAGUAAUCAGCCUCAAAUUUGAAUAAUUCUUAUAUCUUUCUACAGUUUUCUACAUCUUUUUAAAAAGUUACAGUGGAAGUUAUAUCCUGCUGCAAAGCACAUAUAUAAUUGUAUGCAAAAAAAAAAUUUGGGUGAUUUUUCUUUUGUUGAUUUGUGAAAAUAAGUACAAAUCUUCUACAGAGAGGAACUGAUGUAAUGUUACUGCUGAAUUCAGUACAAUGGAAGAAAACAUGGCCUGUGCAAAUGUUAUGGCAUUUUAUACUUCAUAUUAUAUAUAUUUAAAAAAAAAAAAAAAAAAAAAAAAAAAAUAUAUAUAUAUAUUAUAUUUUACUAUUUUCCAAUAUGUUAAUAUAAGUCGAAAUAUGUGCACAAAAAAUAGUGUGUUCUCUGAACAGGGUGCUCAGACUUUUGCACACAACUCUACAGGACUGUGCCAAAGUUUUGGGCACCCGAGAAAGUUUAAGAAUUAAGAAGCUGUUUAAUUGGGCAUUGAGCAGUUAUUUGCUCUGAAAAAAAAGUUAUAAUAUUACAAUAAAUACAAAUAAUAUUAACACAGUAAGUAGUGAUUUUAUGUAUGUCAGCGUGUUUGUUUAAGCCUCUCCAAACCUCUCCUCAUGGCAGCCCAGUAUUAAUUGUAGUUAUGUUAAGUCAGUAUGUUAAAUGGAGAGUGCUGGUGAUGGAAUGUAACAAAGCCAUGUGAUGGCUGGGGGACGUCCAGGAAAAACCUGGAAUCAACUUUGUUCUUCAAACUGGCUCACAAGACAUCAACUAGUGUUUUGAAAAAAAUACGCUCUUGUUACGUUUCGCUGUAUUCAUGUUUAUUUGCAUUUAUUCUAAUUUUACACGUGUUUUUAGAGGCAAAAGCACAUUUCCUUUUGAGGGCCCUGUGUCCCAAAGGCAUCUUUGUAUUAAGAUCAUCUUAUCUGGUAAAGAGAGUGCUCAGCGUGAUGCUCAUUCUACCACUAAAGAAUCAUUUUUGUGAUAAAAUGUGUAUUUGUGUAUUUUUUGACAUAGUUAUCAUGUGGAAAAUAAGUAGAAAUAAGAAUAUAAGAAUAAGAAUAUAAGAAAUAAGGUUCAUUUCAUCUUUAUUUAAACUGUAAUUUGUCUUCUAAAGAAAUGCAUCAGGUUGCAUACAAGUUUAUUAAUGUGGAGACAUUUGUAUUAAACACUUUGGCCAAAACCAUCUUAGUCACUGACAUAUAAUGAUAGGAAACAUUCAUAUCAUCCCAUCUGCAAAUGUAAUAACACUGUAAUGUAACUUAAUACAGGAUGCUGCUGGCAGUUUUGGUCAUUUGCAUGGAUGUGUUUUUUUUUUUUCUUCAAAUAAACCUUAAUAAAAGCAAAACGCUCCAAGUCAAA